ACGAAAUAGUGAUAUAGAGCAAAACCCUAAAAAACGGUCUCAGUUCGGAUUGAAGGCUGAAAUUCGCCUUCAUGAAGCUGGAAUUGCUAGUAAUGGCAGGUCAGCAUACUGCCGUGAAUACGUUCCCGGGCCUUGUACACACCGCCCGUCACACCAUGAGAGUUGGGAAUACCCGAAGCCUGUGAGCUAACUGUAAGGAGGCAGCAGUCGAAGGUAGAAUCAAUGAUUGGGGUGAAGUCGUAACAAGGUACC
rnacentral:rRNA from 1 species